UGUGGACUGUUUUCUUUGCCUAGUGAC
rnacentral:piRNA from 1 species